AACGAACGCUGGCGGCGUGGAUAAGACAUGCAAGUCGAACGGGACAUUCUCUGUAGCAAUAUAGAGGGUGUUCAGUGGCGAACGGGUGCGUAACACGUGGAUACAUUCCGGAAAGCGGGGGAUAGCCCAGGGAAACUUGGAUUAAUACCGCAUGUGGUCGCAAGACUAAAGACGGGGAUCGAAAGACCUGUCACUUUCCGAUUGGUCCGCGGCCUAUCAGCCAGUUGGCGGGGUAAAAGCCCACCAAGGCUACGACGGGUAGCUGGUCUUAGAGGACGACCAGCCACACUGGAACUGAGACACGGUCCAGACACCUACGGGUGGCAGCAGUCGAGAAUCUUUCACAAUGGGGGCAACCCUGAUGGAGCGACGCCGCGUGGAGGAUAAGGUCUUCGGAUUGUAAACUCCUGUCAUGCGCGAACAAGGUUGCCAGGUUAAUACCUUGGCAAAUUGAUGGUACCGCAAGAGGAAGAGACGGCUAACUCUGUGCCAGCCGCCGCGGUAAUAC
rnacentral:rRNA from 1 species